UCGCAUUGGUCUCAAACCAAUGACAUGCAUUUUGAAGACCAUGAGUUCGAGGUGGACGAGGAGGGUGAGGGCAUUGUCGACGCACCAAAAGGAAGAGCGGGCAAUUACACCAACGCCGAUGACAUCUUACUAUGCAAUACUUGGUUGCAAGUGUCGAGGGAUCCAUCUGUUGGAGGUGAUGAAAGUAGAGAUGCUUAUUGGAACCGGAUGAAGGAACACUUUGAUGCUCGCAACGUGAGUAGAAUUGACCGCUCCAACCGAUCACUUAGGUCCCGAUGGUCGACAAUCAACUCGGAUUGUCAAAGGUCGGCGGCCUGUCAAAAGGCGGUUGACAAG
rnacentral:rRNA from 1 species